UACGAAGGGGGGCUAGCGUUGCUCGGAAUUACUGGGCGUAAAGGGAGCGUAGGCGGAUAGUUUAGUCAGAGGUGAAAGCCCAGGGCUCAACCCUGGAAUUGCCUUUGAUACUGGCUAUCUUGAGUAUGGGAGAGGUUAGCGGAACUCCGAGUGUAGAGGUGAAAUUCGUAGAUAUUCGGAAGAACACCAGUGGCGAAGGCGGCUAACUGGCCCAUUACUGACGCUGAGGCUCGAAAGCGUGGGGAGCAAACAGG
rnacentral:rRNA from 1 species